UUAUCUUCCUAUGGACUAUUUAUUAUUUGAAUUUGUUGUUAUUUUAGCCCUGAGUUUACCCUGUUCAAACUGACCUAUGAUCAAAGCAUUCCAGCCAUGACAAUCCCUGUGUUAUCAUCAGGCAUAGUAUAUCAAAGACUACAUUACUCAAUAACUAGAUCUGAGACGUUUCCGCUCGACCACUUCUCUAGCGAAACAAAGCCGACUACGUCAUCACGGGGUACACAUUUGGACGAAGAAUUCUUUUUAAUCGACUAACAACAUUGCAGUGAUGCAUCUUACCGAUGCAUCCCUACACAUGGAACUGCAAUUUGAACUGCUGUCUUAUCUAAAAAGGUGGGGAAGCGCUGAAAAUCAAAAUCAUUUCACCUGUAAAAGAUCAAAUGUAGAAUUUGGAAAUUUUUCUUUAAUGAUUAAAAAAAAAAAAAAUCCUUUUUUUUUUUAUUAAUUAGAACAUAAAGAAAAGGAUACAAAUUAUUUAUUUAUAUUUAUUGACAAUGUUUUAGCUGUCAUAUCUCUCACUGACCGGUCGGUGCUGAACAAACUAAAAAAACACAAAGAAACUCUUUCUGAUUCGCUCAUUUUGUAAAUGGAUAUUAAUAAUAAUGGAGGCUAUUACAAAGACUCAUGGGAAAUUCUCCUACAUUUUUUUUUUUUUUUUGAAUUAACUUAUUUAUCAAGUAAUUUAUUUUUUCCACAUCGGCAUACUGCUACAAUUCUCAAACAGUCAAGAACGGACAUUUUUCUUUUCAUUAAAUUAAAAAUUAAUUUUAGGAAAAUGUGACAAACGAAAUAAUUUCUCAUAGAUAAAACUGUAUUUAAAAACAAAAACAAAAAAACAAAAUGAAGAAAAGUAAACAGAAACACAGAGAGAGAGAGAAAGAGAAAGGAAAACAAAAUAAGAAUUGGUCAAAACUGUAAA